UACGGGGGGGGCAAGCGUUGUUCGGAAUUACUGGGCGUAAAGGGCUCGUAGGCGGCCAACUACGUCCGACGUGAAAUCCCCAGGCUUAACCUGGGAACUGCGUCGGAUACUGGAUGGCUUGAAUCCGGGAGAGGGAUGCGGAAUUCCAGGUGUAGCGGUGAAAUGCGUAGAUAUCUGGAGGAACACCGGUGGCGAAGGCGGCAUCCUGGACCGGCAUUGACGCUGAGGAGCGAAAGCCAGGGGAGCAAACGGG
rnacentral:rRNA from 1 species